CUUGCAUACCUAUAAGAGGUCCAGCCUGCCCAGUGACUCUGUUCAACGGCCGCGGUAUCCUAACCGUGCGAAGGUAGCGUAAUCACUUGUUCUUUAAAUGAGGACUAGUAUGAAUGGCACCACGAAGGUUAUACUGUCUCCUCUCUCUAAUCAGUAAAACUAAUCUCCCCGUGAAGAAGCGGGGGUAAUUAUAUAAGACGAGAAGACCCUAUGGAGCUUUAAACUAAGAAUCAAUUGCUUUAUUCCCCUUCAAAUUUCAGAAAACUAACUUUUACCAAAGCACUCUGAUAUCUAGUUUUAGGUUGGGGUGACCACGGAGUAAAAACCAACCUCCGCAAUGAACGGGAAUAUUUCCUUAACCAAGGGCCACAGCCCUAAGAAUCAACACAUUGACAUCAAUUGACCCAAAAAUUUGAUCAAUGAAC
rnacentral:rRNA from 1 species